CAUGGGAAGAAGAGGUUCAGCUCCCUCAGAAUCAGAGCUCAUGCAGCUGGGUGCUGAGGACCUUCUCCUUCAAGGCAUGAAGAUGAAUAAAGAAAGGGUGAAUACUGAAGUGAGAAGAAUCUGUCAUAAGCAAUGAGAGGCACAGAUGAAGAGGGAAGAGACACAAACCAGAGAGACACACGGAGGAAAAGGAGACAGAGAAGGUCAGACAACUGGACAGGACCAAGCUUUGUCCACACAGCCACUGCCGUCAAGACCAGCCCCCUAAUCCCCACUCUUGCACAAGCUCAUUUAUAGGAUUCUAGGAAAUUUUAGCUAAGGUUGGAGAGUAUUUUGGAUAAAUGUACAAAGACUGAUCCAGAGACAUAGAAGAUAGAUUUUGGUAACUGAUUUCCAGAACCUGAAAUUCACAGGACUGACCCGCUGUCUCCCAUAGAAAGUUGGAGCUGAGAGAACAUCCAGACCUGCAGCUUUUUAAGAGUCUACUGUUAUCACAUCUGCAGGACCUUCAGGAAAUUGAUGGUGACUUUUGACCCAAAGGAGGAUGUGGUACCUGCGGAUGACUGGUACACAUCAGGACCUCGCCACAGAGGGCCCACUGUUGGCACCGGUUACCUCGGAGGCACACGGCUCCCUCUGCGGUCUUGCAAUGAGGGUAGACCCGCAAUUUUGCGACUUUGUCUUGUUAGCCUGGCUCCACCUUCCAGUGUACUGCCUGGUUGCAUUGAUAUCUUAAAAUCAGUGAAUUAGAGAUUUUUUAGUUCAUCAUCUUCUCAGUGCCCUGCUGGAUGCUUGCAGGGGAGGCAAAGAAAACCUGAGUCUGUUGAGGAAUAGCCAGUGAAGAGCCCAAGUCUGCAAGAAUCAGACCGACUGAGACUGAGGUUGAAUUCUGGCAAUGCUGCUUUCUAGCUUGAGCUUUACACAGCUAAGGUAACCAGUCUAAGUCUCCAUUUUCUCACCAGUGCAAUGGUUACAUUAAUUAUAACUCAGUUAUUCGAUAUUGAUAAUCUCUCAGGUGCAUGCAGCGCUUAGCACAUGUAAACACGUGCAGUCUGCAAGAGGCCCUGAGGUGAGCUUGAACAGUAAAGGCAGCUGUUCCGCUGUGGAUAAGGUUCAAAAGGAGCAGCUACUGCUGUAAGAAGCAUUGCUGUUGAUGGAUCUUUGACUUUCAUAACACAAGCUAGGAAGUGAGCCCUACGAUGCAGCACACAGACUGGUAAGGACAAUGUCUCCCAUUUCUGUAAUUCAUGUGGUCUGGCGGAGAUUUCCAUGUCUUUUCUCCUUUAAUCCUCACUUGGAAGUCAGUCUUCACCGUAAAACACAUCCAUUCCGCAGAGGAGAAAACUGAAGCUCAAAGAGAUGACCUGGUCUAGAAACUCAGAUUGGGGAGAAGGGAUUUGAAUACAGAUUUAUACAACUCAAAAUCCCAGUCGUCUUUCUGCAACAACGCGACUUUGAACUGGAGGUGAUUUUGCCUCCUAAAAGAAAUUUUGAUUGUCAUUAGUGGAAGGAGGUUGCUACCAGCAUCUCGUGGAUGGAGUUCUAAGAUCCUACUACAUACCAGAAAACACACAGGAGUGUCCCAUCAACAAAGAAGUGUCAGGCCCCAAUGUCGACAGUGCCAAGUUUGAGAAACCCUGCAGGACAUUGCAGUUUCACACAGAAGACCCCAGUGAAAGUGCCAAGGAAAGAUGGGAAAGGAGAAAGUAAGAAGGGAAAGAAGGAAGAAAAUCAUCAUAUUAGAAUACGGUCAAACCCAAGCCGCCCUGGGAGAACCCCUUUGAAAAGCAGCACUUCACAGCAACCCAAAGCAACAGCUCUGGGAUUGGUUGACCUGCUCUUCAAAUCUUGCUGGACAUGAUACUGAAGCAGCCAGUGGGGCUGUAGUUUCUGUUGAGUAAAAGAGAGAUGCCAGAGACUGUCCCAGAAUGUCAUUAUGGGUAUUAAAUGAACAAAUCUUCAGUAGUUACUACUUCCAGGCUGUACUACUUGAAAUAUUUCCUCCACUGUUUACUAUUUAUAUGACUUUCAGUAGGCUUCACAGUUUUUCUGAGCACUAAGUUAUUCUUAUGGAAACUAAAAGUAACAAACACAUGGAGAGCUUCUGUAGAUCAAACCCGUCACUGUGUAUAACAUUCAGUAGAGUCCGUGGUCUCUAAUGAGAAUCCCACAAAUAUUAAGAGAACCUACUGCUGUCGUACUGUUUAUGACACAACACAGAAGCUAGGCAAAUUAUUUCCAUCCCAGAGAUGAUUUCAAGAAGGGACGAGGAAACGCACUGUGUUGAAAGCAGAGAUGUGGAUUCUUUGCUGAGUUCCUCUUUCGUGGAAUCCAGAGAUUGUAACGUAUUACCACAUACUUCCGGUGCCUGUUCAAGAUUGUUUUCAACUAUAAACUCUAGGCAACUAGGCAACUCUAAACUAACAGAAAGAUGAACCACACGGAAGCAUUAAGACUCUCAAAGUGGGAAGGGACAGGGGAAGAUACACUCGAUGAGACCUGGGGCUAUAAGACAGUGUAAAGGGGUCCAUCCUGAGAUUUGAACCUCCUGAGUUGAGUCUAGUGCUGUUCUCAUAAUGUGAAGCUGCCUCCUCCCUCUCUUGUUUACACAGCCACAGUGUAGCAUUUCUGGUGGCCAGGAGCUUGUACUCGCCUUGGGUGUGACGUUAUAUCUUAUUUACUCCAUGUGGAAACAAGGUUUCCUAUCUUGUUUUAGUUACUUUUCUUGCUGCUGAGACAAAAUACCGAACACCCAAAGUUAAAAGAGGAAAAGGC